UACGAAGGGAGCUAGCGUUACUCGGAAUCACUGGGCGUAAAGCGUAUGUAGGCGGAACUACAAGUCAGAGGUGAAAUCCCAGGGCUCAACCCUGGAAUUGCCUUUGAAACUGUAGUUCUUGAGUAUGGUAGAGGAUGGUGGAAUUUCCAGUGUAGAGGUGAAAUUCGUAGAUAUUGGAAAGAACACCGGUGGCGAAGGCGGCCAUCUGGGCCAUUACUGACGCUGAGAUACGAAAGCGUGGGGAGCAAACGGG
rnacentral:rRNA from 1 species